CGCAUCUUGCGCUCGAUGGUAUUCCGUCGAGCAUGUCUGUUCGAGUGUCCUCACGAAAGGAUCAGCCUUCCAUUUCUUUUGAACUUGAUGGCUGGAUGUGGGCGAAGGCGGAUCUAUGUAAUCUGCCGGCCCAAAAUCCAAACGGCUUCGUACGAUUGCCUGCAAGUGUUGUAAUGUCAUUAUUCACUGCGUAGAUAGUUGUAUGGAUGCCAUGAAAAAUAUGUACUAUUUUUUUAACCUCGAAUUAGGCAGGAGUACCCGCUGAACUUAA
rnacentral:misc_RNA from 1 species